rnacentral:lncRNA from 1 species
GAUGUAUCAGGUUCAUUUGUUGCAAUAUAAACAUUCCUUCCGUCUUCAAUCUUAUUCUGCAAGGUUGAGAUAAGGGCAUCAGGUGAAGUAUCUUGGGCAAGAUUAGGCCACAGAUCCCUGUUCCUCGCCUUCUCCCCUCUCACAAUGUGAACAGAGUCAUAAUCCCAGUUCAACUUUGACGCAAUCGCCAACACUAUAUCCAUCAACCUCCUUGAUUUCCAUAACAGAUGCCAUGGCCUUUGAACAAC